GGGGAAUUAGCUCAGUUGGUAGAGCGCUUGCAUGGCAUGCAAGAGGUCAGCGGUUCGAACCCGCUAUUCUCCA
rnacentral:tRNA from 5 species